AUAUUGGACAAUGGGCGCAAGCCUGAUCCAGCCACGCCGCGUGAGUGAUGAAGGCCUUCGGGUCGUAAAGCUCUGUGGGGAGGGACGAACCGCUGCUGGUUCAUAUCCAGCAGCAUGACGGUACCUCCUUAGCAAGCACCGGCUAACUUCGUGCCAGCAGCCGCGGUAAUACGAAGGGUGCAAACGUUGCUCGGAAUUAUUGGGCGUAAAGCGCACGUAGGCGGCUUAGCAAGUCGGAAGUGAAAGCCCUCGGCUCAACCAAGGAAGUGCUUUCGAAACUGCUGAGCUUGAGUACUUAAGAGGAUCGCGGAAUUCCCGGUGUAGAGGUGAAAUUCGUAGAUAUCGGGAGGAACACCAGUGGCGAAGGCGGCGAUCUGGGAAGAUACUGACGCUGAGGUGCGAAAGCGUGGGGAGCAAACAGG
rnacentral:rRNA from 1 species